ACAUCGUUUGGCAGGACAAAAAUAAAACACCCUAUAUAUUAAUUUCGAAUAAAUCGGUAUUUUCGGAAAUGUACCGGAAGUUACGACCGAUGUGUUUAAUGCGACUUUAAUACCAUUUCGGGUUUUCCGCCUAUUUUCAGUUUCCUGUCGGCGUUUUCGUUUUAUUUACCUUGCGGUGCAAUUAGCGGUUUGCCGAUUUUCUUCUUGAUGGUUAAGCUUAUGCAUUGCCCUGUGUUUUCGGCAUUCUCUAAUGUUCCGUGAAAUUCUAUAUCGUUAAAUAAGUAUACACCUUAUUUCCUACUCGUCUUUCACAAUUUACUUUUUCAAUAAUAUACGAUCUAUCCGUGAAACGUUAUGUUACACCACAUAAUAAGUAUAUAUUUUUAAGCACGAUAUCUUUGAAACCCGUGGAGGAAGGAACUUCGAACGGGUGCUCUUCCACCGAAACUCAAAGGACAUUCGCUCGAAUAAUUUUACUUCCUCCGUCGUAUGAAUUCGUACGAGUUCCCUCGAACCUUGUUACACACAAAAUUAGGAAAACGAAGUAUUGGAUCAUCCUGGCGAUUCCAUGUUCCUAACUUCUAUGGUUGACUUUGUGAUAAAUAGCCUGAACUUCGUCGUUGACAAGUGAGAUCGAUUUCAGUGCCAACGAAAUAUAUUGUCCGUGAAAGUAAUACUUUUGAUAAGAGCGUAAACUUGCUGAAUACAACAGAGUACGAACAUACCGAUGGAUGGAUCAAAGCAUGUUUGUUUAUAACAAGAAAUUUCUAAUCGACAUAUAAUGAUUUGGGUGAAAAAGAUUUCUCUCGCUGGCCAACUGGUCCCAGGUGUGUACACUGGGAGCGUGGCAGACGCGUGCUUCUCCCCUCUUUAACCUCAGCUGAACGCAGUUGCCUUUACAUGCUUUUUCAUUCUUUCUAUGUAUGUAUAUGUUAAUAUAUGUACUAUAAAAUAAUUUAAAAUAAAUAUCAUACAGCCUGGGAAAUUUCAUUUAUAUUUCAUGAGAAUUUGAAAUCUUUGUAGAAGAAACAGAUCCUGAAAGUUAUCUGAGAUACGAAAACGUUUAUUUCACAGACAAAUGCAACGUAGAUGGAACAAAUCAAAUUAAAGUACGAAGGAAAAAUAGCGUAUACUUAGUAUCUAUUAAACACAGAUAAACAUAGAUCUUUACGAUCCAAGUCGCUUUAAGGUUAAAUAGAAACGCAUAAAUCAAGGAAGAGACAAAAAGAGAAGGAAUUUACAGCUUUAUAAUGCAAAUUAAUAGCUCUUCCAAGCAUUGUUAUCGAAGAGAAUAAUGAGCCUUGUUUUAGACAAUUAAGGGAAGAAGAACGUAGAAACUGGCCACGUAAGAUUUGCAUUUGAGAAAGGUGGUAAUUAUUUGCAACGGAAUAACGCAAUUAUCAAAUUGACCCUCGCACCCUCACAUAAUUACUCGCGACUUCAGGAUUUAAGUGGAUAAUCAUUGGGAAUCGGCGAACUGUUCGUUGAACGUUGAAAUUUGGCAAGCGUCAGAAUGUGGGGCGCCAGGUCGUCAAUGCGUACCAUGUAAUUUAUGUUGAAUGUAUCUGUUGCUUUCAAAUCUUUACGUAUAUUUUAAUUACACCUAUACGUAAUUUCAAGACAAGUGUACAUUUUUCACUUUCAAGAUGUUAUUUAAUAUUAAUUGGUCGUUAUUAAAACAAAGUAUCGGAAAUUAAGGUUACCGAUGAGCGAAAAUUGACAGAGUUGGUGUAGUGGCAGCAACCUAACAGUAGGAGGAAAAUGAAAUUUUACUCUCAAUCAGAGAGCCACUCGAUCACACAGGAGGGUGCCAUAUUGUUACGUUCUAACCAUUCUCUCUUCUUCUUUAUUUCUUUUUUCUUCCAUAAUCUUUUCCUCUGGUUUGGAUCAACUGUUGUUUUACGAGGACUCUUUAGCCUCGGCAGACGGCCCAUUGUAUCGCUUAUUUCAAUGCGCAGAUUGUUUUCAAAAAGAAAGCACGAUUGUUUCAUCUUUUUCUUUUUUAUUUUUUUAGCUUCCUCCUCUUUGAUGUUCUGCUAUUUACCGAUAGUAGCGUAUCGAAUGUACGGCUAUUAAGAGUCUAUGAAAUUGUUAAUGAAAGUUUUAGGAAGGAAAUGCACGAAAUCCUAACUUUCAGCGAGAAUCGUGAGACACCUUGUUCUUUAACAUCUUGCGAGACAGUUGCGCGAUGGUUAUUUCUGAAAUUUUUUCAAUUUCUGCUGUUUGUCGUUUACGUUUCGAGAAAUUCUUCAACGAAAUGGUGGUACAAAUCGUUUUUCCCAGUCGUAAUACGAAUCACUGGGAUGGUUCGGGCCACCAUGAUUUCGAAGCUAUUUUCUACGUGGGUCGUUCGAGGCUUCUGGAAAUCAAUUUUUCCCCUCUGGCGCCAAUUAACCAGAAUUUUCUCAACUUCGACGUAGGUCCUUUGGUGCAUGGUAGUUUCAAUCUUUAACUUUGGGAAAGUUAAUCGCUCCUUCCGUUUUUCUUUUUCCUCGCUUCAGUUCAGCCAAUGUAAUUUGUCGAAUUCAUUCUCAUGUCCACAUGAUCUAUUAUCGUAUCAACGACGAAAAAACGCAUUAAAACAAUGCAUUUUCUCUUUAGUUAUUUCGUACUUGAAAUAUUUUUGAAAUAAAUGCUUCGUUUACUUUUAUUUUUCAUAUUAUCUUUUAUUUUCCAAAGUCUGCUUCAAUAGAUAUAGCAGAGUAAUGAUAUCAUAAAUCUUAAUGAAGCAAAGUUAUUAGUAGACACAUUCGUAGAAGCAUCGUGAAUUUAUCUGAAGUUUCUAAUUUGGCCUUCCAUUCAAUACGAUGGGAAGAAUAUAAUCGGCUUAUAUACAUUUAGUUGACUGAAUCCAGGAAAAUGUGCCUACUAUCUUUUUCUCUUUCUACCUAUUUAUCUCCUUUUGAACAAAUUGAUGCACAGUCGUCGCGACGAGACGAGAGUCGCACAAAAGCUUAAAAUCACGAUAGACCGUGGAUACCGGCUAGUUAGGAGAGUUUUGAUGAAUCCUAAUCUUGUGAAAUAUAUGCGUGAAUAACGAGCCACGACGGCCAUGGUGCGUUUGAAUUAAAACAUAUUAUCCUUGUCUAUCCUACCAACUAAUAUCUACUAAAUGGCGACUAAUACCAAUCCUAUUCAUUUGGAUAAUAUGCUUCAAUGUGACGUUUACUUUUAUAUACUAGAAUGUCAUAAUCUGACGCUAUCCACGCAGCUUCAUCAUCUUUUAAAUCUUUAUAAAACGAAAAAAUUCGUUUCUUUUUCCGUUCGAUUGUUCCUUCCAUGUUCUGUUUAACGUUAACUAAUUAGAUUAUAAUUGGAAUAUUUAUAUAACUUAACUUAAUUUAAUUUAACUUAAUUUAUAUAACUUAAACGCGAUCGUAGUAUAUGAUAUGAUAAAAAAUAAAAAAGCAAAAGUGUUGGUAGUUCGGUUUCAGCCGAAAGUCGUGGGAACCGUUUUGAUAGAAUAGGAGAACGGACGACGUAGGAAGGUAGGAGAAGGAAACGAAGAAUCUUGGUGGAAGAUACAAAAGGGAAAAGAGAAGAAAGGGAAGGAAGGUAAAGCCGAGCAAAGUUUGAACGAUGGGAUGAGAUCGUUGGUUCUGAUUCCAAGCAAAAAUUCGUGAUACAAUGCGAGCGUUUUCAUUCCAAAUAACGUAAAUUCAAUGUACAUUCUGUUUUAUUUACGAACUUCGAUUAACGACAUAUCGCGUUGUCUACUAACUACUUGUUCUCUACAACCUGCUUACUGGCAACGUUAAACAAAAUUAUAAUUACAAUAAAAUUACAGUUGUUUAUUCGGAGAAGCAUAGAAAUUUCAAAUAAUA
rnacentral:lncRNA from 1 species